rnacentral:rRNA from 1 species
GACGAACGCUGGCGGCGUGCUUAACACAUGCAAGUCGAACGAAGAGCGACGGAAGCUUGCUUCUAUCAAUCUUAGUGGCGAACGGGUGAGUAACGCGUAAUCAACCUGCCCUUCAGAGGGGGACAACAGUUGGAAACGACUGCUAAUACCGCAUACGAUCUAACCUCGGCAUCGAGGAUAGAUGAAAGGUGGCCUCUACAUGUAAGCUAUCACUGAAGGAGGGGAUUGCGUCUGAUUAGCUAGUUGGAGGGGUAACGGCCCACCAAGGCGAUGAUCAGUAGCCGGUCUGAGAGGAUGAACGGCAACAUUGGGACUGGGACACGGCCCAGACUCCUACGGGAGGCAGCAGUGGGGAAUCUUCCGCGAUGGACGAAAGUCUGACGGAGCAACGCCGCGUGAGUGAUGACGGCCGUCGGGUUGUAAAGCUCUGUUAAUCGGGACGAAAGGCCUUCUUGCGAAUAGUGAGAAGGAUUGACGGUACCGGAAUAGAAAGCCACGGCUAACUACGUG